AGUGCCUUCUACAUGUCAGGCACUUUUAUAAGCAGACACCAAAAUAGACUAAAAUCUUCGUUUUCAACAGUCUUCUUCUAUUCUAAGGAAGCCAAGAACCGGGACACUCUCCACCAUUAAUAUUUCGGCGAAUCAGACAGGAAGAAGAGGUAAGCCGAAAAGUUUGGGAUUCAUUUUACUCCCUUUCCUUUCCGCUCCAUACAGGGGCGCGCUCUCUCUUUUCCUUUCCAACUGGGGACCCUUGGUGGGCGGCGUCUAAACAUGGAAACAGCUGCAGAUUUCUGGCCGUGGUUCGUGAAACUGAAGGGUUUCCAUGUUGAGGAUGGCCUAACUGCCAUCUCAUGUUUCGCUUAGGGGAACAGGGUCUUUUUACAGUUAGCUUAAGGAAUCUGGGUGUUUUUCUUUCUUUUUUUUUUUCCUUUCUUUCUUUUCAGUCUUUCAGCGGCUGUUUAUAAUUGCACUGUCCAGAAGGGGGAAGGAGAUCUAGGCGAUCCCUGAUCCCUGCAGCUCAGAGCAAACUCGCGCGUGUUUCAGGGGACUUAAACUUUCUUUUCUUAUGCUAAGUUCUUCCCUUACGUACUCAACUGGCUAAAGACAAAAAGCCCACCUGGCAUCCUGUUCUCAUUAGAGUUCAUGGCUAUUAUAAGACUCAUACUAGGAGGUAGGCCUUGGAGGGGAAAACCUGCACGUGGUACCAGUGCCCACCCAAGGUCAGAGACAUCUGACACUCUAAGAUUGGACCCCACAGGAGGAUGCUCCGUGGGUCCUGUGGACCUCAACCUGCUCAAAGGGGAUGCUCUUAGCAGAGGCUCUGAGGUCUAGUACUAAAUCCUCCUUAGAAUUUUCUCUCGCAAUUGCAAUGCUGUCUGGCCCAAACAUUGUUUGGAAUCUGGAGUUUACUGUCUAAAGGGAAAGUGGAAUGGCAUUGCAUGUAUCCAGGCUUUUGUGCUGCGGUUCUAAGCUGGGAGCCUGGUUAAUGUGUGACACGCUACUUUGGUAGGGUUUGGCCCCAGUGCUCUUUGGAGUCUGGGAAGG
rnacentral:lncRNA from 1 species